GCUGAGAUUGAGCCACUGCACUCCAGCCUGGGGGACAGAGGGAGACUCCAUCUCAAAACAAAAACAAAACAAAACAAAAGUACCUAGGGAAUCAAUCAGUUAUUAAUCGAGUCCUAGAAUUUUGGGUCUGAUUGCUAUAGGAGCUGUUGUUUGGCUUCUGGGCUGAUUCCUACAGACUGUGGGUCAGAGUUCUGUCUUUCUACAUGGUCUUGACAUUGUCUGUCUGUAUGUUGACUCUCUCAUUGUGUACAGGCUGUCUUCUCCCAGUAUGCUUAAAAUUAAUAAGAGUUUGAACAGACAAGUAUGCGGAGGGAACAUCAUCAUUUGUACAAAUAGCCUCAGAUGGAAAUUCUGCAUGCCUUUGAAAGAAAGUUUGAGAGGUAGACCUCAACAGCUUCGUCGGCCCAGCUGAAGUCUCUCUCCCUGAAGGCACAUGCACCUUUCUCAGGCAUUGCUGGGAAUGCAGGAUUGUGUGCUGGAGGCCAACAUUGGGUAUCCUGAGUGGAAACCAUGAACUGGGGCAAAUCCUCUUGGUACACACACACCUAGCUUCGUUUCCCUUCCUUUUCUGCCCUAUCCCAGGGAGCCCUCUUUGCACCAGCCCACCCACUGACCAAACUUCAGGGUCUUGUCUUCAUACUUACUGCUUUUUUCUAAGGGAAAAGUUAUGGAGAAGGCAGUCAAGGUUCAUUUAUUUUUCACCAGGAGACAAUGCCCCCAAACAAGAACUGAGUCCCUAGUUAUGGAAUGUCAGACACCUUGCAGCAGGUGGUGGUUCUGAAACACCCGGAUCCAGAUGGCAGCCAACUCCACCCACAUGUCAGGCGGGUGACUGCAUUUCCAGACAUAUUCCUUGUUUAGAUGAGGAGAUUCUGCCCCCACUAACAUUCCUUCAAGUAGCAAAAUGAUGCUAGAUCUUUCCAGAGGUCACAGACUGAAGGCUUGGGGGCUACAGUCUGGAAUGUGUUUUGCUUGGCACACAUGCAUUUUAAGUUGUUUAAUGAACUAUCAAGAUGUAAAGAUCAGGAGCUGACCUUUCACGUUAAAAAGAAAAUCUAUAUUUUCCAACUAGUCUUGGAAAAUGGGAUGCUCUGGCAGCACUUGGACAUCUUCCCACCUGCAGAUGCUCAGCAGAAUGGCAGCUGCCCUGCGGAGAGGAAGCACCUGUUCCCUUCCUUACCACUCUCCUCGUCUGGCCUGCAGUUUCCUCCUGUGUGUCACAGUUAUGGACUGAUUGCUUGUGUCCUGCCAAAUUCAUAUGUAGAAAUCCUAACCCCCAAGGUGAUCAUAUUAGGAGAUGAGGCCUUUGGGAGGUUAUGAGGUCACAAGGGUGGGGCCCUCAUGACUGGGAUUAGCACCCUUAUGAAAGAGACCCCAGAGAGCUCUCUCAUUCUCUUUCCACCAUGCAAGAAAAUGAGACGUUGAAGUCUUCAACCUGGAAGAGGGUCCCUGCCAGAACCUGGCCAUGCUGGGACCUGAUCUUGAACUUUGAGAACUGUGAGAAGUAAAUUUCAGUUGUUUACAAGUCAUCCCAUCAAUGGUAUUCCACUAUGGCAGUCCAAACUGACUAGGCCACUCACCUUCUUGACCCAGUGGGCAUUUGAUCCAGAAUAACUCAUUACUGUCUGAGGAAAGCCCCACCAUCUCUUUUCCCAGAAGUUUUUGUUUCUGGUGGCUUCAUGGGGGGAUUCCAGGCACAGUAGGGCCAAGCGAUGGGUAUAGAGCGACCCUACACCUUUGACUUGGCCUCCUGGGGACUUAGAUGGAUAGGUGUGUUUCCUAGGAGCCGUCUUCCCUGUCCUCACCCCUUUUCCCAUGAGAAAUGCCUCCUCUUGCCUCAGAAACAAAGGAAGGGGUCAGUUUCUGCCAAUGUCUGCUCAGCCCAGAGCAAAUGUCUGAGAGAUUCAGUGUGAAUGUGCUGGUUGCCUGCUGCAGAUCAGGCUUGGUAGGUGGUGGUAGGUGGUUAAGGUUGAGUUUCAGCAUCAAGUAUGAGUUAUUACUGCUCAGGGUCUCAGUUUUCUCAUCUGUAAAAUGGGAAGAUUCCUAGCUCUCAAAUUUAUAAGGCUCCACUGGCCAUGUGUAAAAUGUGGCAAUUAGGGAAUACUGUUGGCUGCUAACUAUAUUCACCAGGACAGGCUGGUUAUGCUCUGGUAAAAAAUAAACCCAGACUCAGUGUCUGCACCCAGCACACAUUUAUCUCUUGCGCAUGCUAUACGGCCAUCUUGACUCAGCAAGGUUCUAUUCUCUGUCACUUUACUUAGGAGUGUUGGAUGGAAGAAUCCCCCACAGUAGUGCUGUCAGUCUCUAUGGCAGGGGAAAGGGGACAUGGUGUAUCCAGCCUUGGGCUUGAAGGUCUAUUCCCAGAAGAGACAUCAUUACCGCAACUCACAUUUCAUCGGCCAAAGUGAGUCACAAGCCAAGUUUAACUUCAAGGAGUGUGGCCCCAAGCCUCUGAUUCUAAGUGCCACUGUCUUAAGGCAUUUGAGCUCCUGUAACAAAAUACUGUGAGCUGGGUGACUUAUAAACAAGAGAAAUUAUUUCUCCCAGUUCUGGAGGCUGGAAAGUCUAAGACCAAGGUACUGGUAAAUUUGGUGUCUAAUGAGAACCUAUUUCAUGGUUUAUAGAUGGUGCCUUCUUGCUGUAUCGUUACGUGGUGGAAGGGGCAGACAGACUCUCUGAGGCCUCUUUUAUAAGGGCACUGAUCCCAUUAAUGACAGCUCUGCCUUUAUGACUUAAUCACCUUCCAGGGGCCCCACCUCCUAAUGCCCUCACUGGGGGCUAGGUUUCUCCAUAUGAAGUCUGGGGGGACACAAAUGUUCAGACCAUGGCAGCACUCUCUUCCCUCACAGCAUGGCUGGCUCUCCAACUACAAUACCAUGCCCCAUGGCUCACUUCCAGGGAGACUGUCUGGAGAGGUUUGUCCUAAGAGAUAGAAGAAUGCAUCCCGCCUCAAGUUUUAGUUCCACAGGUUCACCCAACAGGGAGGUAAUAGUUACACAUUCUUAAUGAAAAGACCCAAAAGCCCAAAACAUCCUGUGCUGCAGCAUAUAAAGCAUCUUCUUCAGACCUGGUCCAAGACUACUCUGGGAUUUUUGAGUCAGAAGAGAGCCAGAGCCUAUUCAGCAUACUGUUUGACUCUGGUCCCAGCAGCCACCGCCAUGUUAACAGGAUGAGCAGGGCUUCCUUCAACUCAGGGUUCCCAUGAAAUUAAAAAGAAUUCUCACCUUGACUUGGGAUUGGGAUUGUUGAACACUACCGAUACUUCUUCCAAGGUCUCACAAGAGUUUGCCUCCUCUCAUCGCAAUGUGAAGACCUCUGUGGGGGAACAAUUCAUGGGUUCUUGGGGUCUUAUAGGGGAUGACAGAGAAGUGUCACCCCCACCCAACAGCCUGACUCAGUCUACUCCUCAGGAGGAACAGAAAGUGGUCUCUCUAGUGCCAUGAAACCCCCAAAAGUGUCAACCAGUAUUAAAGGCCUGCCUGAUAUACAACCCUCGAAUGCAACACAGUGUCCUUCUGAGGCCACUCUAAAGAAGGCCAGGAAAGGUUUGCUAAGAAGGCAGUGCUGUUAAAAACAGAAAAAAAAGACCCUUACCCCAUUGCUCUGUGCCUGGUGGCUACAGGGACAUUAUUUCACAAAAAAAGAAAGGGAAAAAUAAUUUUCAAAAAUGAUUUAAGAAAUGCUGUCAAAGAUAGCAAAGAACAAAGAACAGAGCCCUCAAAGAACAGGGCCCAGGACAGGAUAAGCACUCAAUAACGUACAACACUGUAGUGCUGUUGAGUGCUAGCUGUUGUUGAAUGCUAGCUGUUGUUGAGUGCUAGCUGUUGUCGAGUGCUUGUUGCUGAGUGCUAGCUGUUGUUGAGUGCUUGUUGUUGAGUGCUAGCUGUUGUUGAGUGCUUGUUGUUGAGUGCGAGCUGUUGUUGAGUGCUUGUUGUUGCGUGCUACCUGUUGUUGAGUGCUUGUCCUGCCUGGGCCCUGUUCUUAGCCUUUGAGGUACAUUUCUCCAUUCAACUUCCACAAUAGCCCUGUUAGGCAGCUAGUAUUAUUUCUGUUUUACAGAUAAAGUUUGGUUUUAGCUCAGAGUGGUUCUGAAUCUUAUAAAAAGAAAAAAACAUCCCCAGGAACUGAAUCAGCUCCAAAAUAGCUCCAUCUUAGGCUAAAUAUGGGAUGUGACAAAGCCACCAUCAAGCUAGGCCCCCCUGUCCUGACAGCUUCCCACCCCUUCCCUGCCCCUCUCACCCUGCUUUCCAGGGAGGGGUGGGCAUCCUCUCAGUACCAUAAUCUGUGCCAGGCUCUCAUAUGAUGACUUGACAGGAUUCAGCAGAGAUGCAGGCCUCUGCUCUGCUCAUCUCUUUGCAUAUAGUAAUUUAAUGAAGCCAGAAACUGCAUAGAGCUAGUAAUGGCACAACCAAGCAGCUUAAACUUUGAGCCACUAAACCAUGCUGCCUCCUAUUGUAAUACGAUUAUAUUAUAACACAAGUUCGAGAGACCACCCACUGCUUUCUUUAUUGGAUCCUUCCAAUAAAGUGCCGUGCUAGUAGCACAAUUCCCCACGGACAUAGAAAAUAACUAUUCUAAACUAAAUCCGAGGACACACCCAGCCACAAAGUGGGAGGUGUAUUGUACAAAUGCAACCAGGGCCCCUGGAUCUGGCAGCUAGACCCACAGCAACAGCCUGUGUUUUCUCAGGGCUAAGAAUGCACGGCUCCGACACGGAGAGCCUCUGAGCUGCCACAAACUCUUCAACACCUCCCUAUUAAAAGCCAUUCUGACCACCCUUGGUGUUGAGUUUUCCUCGGAGAGCAGUUGAGAGCUAAGGUAGGGUGGAGAGCCAAGAGGAGGCAGGGAGAGCCAGAGAUGGCAGCUGGCAACAGGAUACAGAAAGAAAAGGGACUUCAAAGACAGAUCUAAGAAUUCACAGGGCUUUUUGGUGCAGAGUCUGGAGAUGAUGCACAGAAAUGACACCUUGAAAGGGGAAGGAAAAGAAGGAAGAACAGGUUAUCAGCCCUGGAGCUCAGAAGGCUAAAGGAGAGAAUGUAUUUGACAUCUAUUGUAUCUUUGCAUCCUUCAAUGACACAUUUGUCCAUGUCACUGAUCUUUCUGGCAAAAAAAAAAAAAUGUGCUGUGUGACUGGUGGGAUGAAGGUAAAGGCUGGUCAGAUGAAUCCUCUCCACAUGCUGCCACACUGGCCACCCAGGAUGUGGUCUAUGUGGUCUAGAGGUGCAAGGAGCCAGGCAUCACUGCCCUACAUCAAACUCCAGGCCACAGAAGGAAAUAGGACUGAGAUCCCUGGACCUGGAGCCCGCUUAGGUAUGAAGAUCAGGUGCAUUGAGGAUGUCAUUCCCAUCCCCUCCAACAGCACCUGCAGGAACGGGGGUUGCCAGGUCACCAUCUGUGAACAAGACUCCUCAAAAUGUUUUCUGUUAAUAAAUUGCCUUCAUGUAAACUAAAAAAAAAAAAAAAAAAAAAAAAGAAAGAGAGAGAGAGAGAUAAUUGACACAAAAUGACGCCCAGUCUUGGUCUGCAUGGUGAAGGGCCCAGGACUGAUGGGCGGGGGCUCAUUUGCAUAAUGCAACACCAGGGAGAGUCCUGUCACUUGCCCUCCUGAGUCCUGAAGAAAACCCUUCACUCCAAUUCCCUGUGCAUUGCUUCUAAAGACAGAAAAUGUGUACAGUUCUAGAAUUACGGUCACAUAAAAUGCUAGAAGAAUAAUGUGUUUUAUUUAAGUGCUUGGAGGUACCCCCUGAAGUUUGUGUUACCUGGAAGUUGGCCUUAGGGAAACACCUCAUGGACCUUCUCUCAAGGAUAAAUGAGAUGCAGGGACAAGGAAGGGAGAAAGGUUAUUUUAACAUUUUAUUCACAGUCCCUGGGAUUCUUUGGAGAGCACCUUAGGAAUGUUCUUAACCUGAGUCCUCUUACUAAGUGUAAUCACACAGUCCGCCAGGCUGGUAUUAUUAACCCUACUUUGCAGCUGAGGCAACUACAAGAGAUGACCUUUCCGGGCUGGUGGAGUGGAAUUCGUCACGUACUGCAUGCAGUCAUGUACUGCAGUGACCAGUCUGGGUCCAAUUUCUUUGACGGUAUCAUUGACGGGGUACACAGUGGGGUAACAGGGGAGAGGCAAAGUGCAAGAGGAGAAAUGGGGUGAAAAUCCAGUACAGGGAAGCUUGAGCUGGGGCAGGAUCGGGGAGCCAGGGUCUGGGGCAUGGUUGGGACUGAAAUCCUUGUUAACACUGGCUUUAGCAAAAGAAAUGGGCACCACCAUCCCAGAGGACUUCCAGAAGAUUCCUCCCUCCCCCACAGCUGGGCACAGAGCCUUACCUCCCCUGCACCCUGGCCCUGUCUCCCUAUUUGGCAAGACUCCCAUGUCAUCUGCUCCUCUCGACUUCAGCUCCCUCUUGGCACUGGAAAUACUAAGGGAACCCAGCAGUCACACAGGAUUCUAGGAAUUUCUCCUUUCCAACUUCCUGAACUGGUUUUCAAAUUCACCUCAGAGGUCCCUUUAAAAAUCAUGUUCCAAGUCUGGGCACAGGGGCUCAUGCCUGUAAUCCCAGCACUUUGGGAGGUCGAGGCAGGAGGACCUCCUGAGCCCAGGAAUUCAAGACCAGCCUGGGCAACAGAGUGAGAUCGUGUCUCUACAAAAUAUAAAAGAAUUAUGCUGGUGUGGUGGUGUGUGCCACUGCACUCCAGCCUGGAUGACAAUAAAAGACCUACUUCAAAAAACCCACACUCCACACAAGCAGGGGGUCUGCCAUCCACAGAUUCCAGACAGAGGGUUCCAUCAGCCAGGCAGGAACGGCAUGGGCAAUGUCAGUAGCAUGCACAUCAGGUUAGCUUCUCUGAGGUCACAAAGUCACCUGGAAGUGGGGAAUCCAUGAGGGCCAGGCCCUCCACAGGAGGAGACCUUCCCUCCUCAGGCACCAGCCUCCCUGACAUGGUUCCCUCCUCUCAGCCCUGGCCCACAUGCUCCUGCCGAGGUAACAUGUCCCCUGACUCCAUGUUAGAAAACCAUAAAGCCCCCAAGAGACAUUUCUAACAAUCAUCUAAAUAUUGACUUUCACUUUAUAAAACUUAUAAAACACAAAGAACACUUGGAACAGCCCAGUUUUAAGGCCGCCAACUUUUGUUUUCCAAAGAACAAUUGGUAGACUUGGCCCCAAGGGGAGCAGAGCCCCGGCUCUCAGACAAGGAGCCUCACCAGCAAUUCUGUAUCUUCGAGGCGGCAGAGGUUUUGGUGAGCUUGUGUCCUUUCUAAACAUGGUGGUGAAGAUGGGAUCCUCUUCAUUUUGCAAAUGAGAAAAUGGAAGAGCCCGAGGGACAAAGGGCCUCUCUCAAGGUGCCAUGGUGAGAAGGAGGCAGAAGGAAGAGGACCUCACCCUUGCCUUGAUUCCACUGACUGCUGUUUAUUGCGCCACGAGUGUCUUCAGGGAGCAGUCGUUCCCACACUGGAAUGUUGACAUGAGGAGCAAAUGUGAUGCCAUCAUGUAAUUCCAGUGGGGGCUGGAAUUUUCAGCCUGCAAGGCUGAAAUGACCCUCUCUGUUUCAAUGCUAAGGAAGCAGCAGCUUUCCUCCCACUCUUGAAAUGUGCAGCAUCUUCAAGUUCCUGCCUCGCGUUUCUAGGCCUGUAGUGGGCUGUCCAUGGUCAGGGAGUGGAUCUUCCAGUUAGGUAUUUUUCUGAAGCAACUGUCAUUCUUUGCUUUUUGGAGCAAGACAGGUUUUUAAAAUCCUCUGGGAGAGCAGGAGGAGGGUUGGCCAGAAAAGGCAUGAAGAGUGGGAGAAGGGUGCAUUGUGGACCCGUCUGAGCGUAGGAGUGUCCCGAUAACCAGGAGACUAAGGAGCAGCAUCCGCUGUCCCCCUCAGUGUUCUAAAGGUAUGAAACCUAACAAGGUAAUUGCAUGGGAAUAACACACUGUGAAUGUUAUGUGGGAUUUGAAAUUGUCAUCUCAAGAGUGACCGGGGGGAGAGAGGAAGGGUGAACUCUUUCAGUCUAAAAGCUACGUUUUAAAAGGCAGGGUUAGACUCGGUUUGUUUUCUGCAAUGCAUU